UCUCCGUUGGUGAACCAGCGGAGGGAUCAUUACAGGACUCGCAAGACUCCCGUAAACCACUGUGAACCUACUACUGUUGCCUCGGCGGGUGCUCGAGCUCAGCGCUCAGCCCGCCGGUGGCCCCACCAAACUCUUGUUUUUAGUGUCUCUUCUGAGUUAAACAAACAAAUGAAUCAAAACUUUCAACAACGGAUCUCUUGGUUCUGGCAUCGAUGAAGAACGCAGC
rnacentral:misc_RNA from 1 species